GGGGCCGAAAAAGAAAAACCUUUGCCUUUUCAUAGACCUGAGAUUCGUCCGGAAAGCAUCGAUACUCUUUCAUGUAAUACGAUAAUGCGUAGUUUCGGUCAGCAGUGUCACGUUCUGACAGGAAUCUGAAAAAUAUAUGUUACAGCUUC
ensembl:ncRNA C09F9.8 ncRNA